GGUUCGAUUCUGGCUCAGAUUGAACGCUGGCGGGAUGUUUCUACAUGCAAGUCGAACGGCAGCACGGACUUCGGUCUGGUGUAAGAGUAUGUGAACGGCAGUAACGGUCGUAAAUGUGCCUAGUGGGGAUAACGCGAAAGCGUAGCUAAUACCGCACAUUGCCCUUCGGGGGAAAGCGGGGACCUUCGGGCCUCGCACCAUUAGAGCGGCUGAUAUCUGAUUAGCUAGUUGGUGGGGGUAACGGCUCACCACAGUGACGAUCCGUAGCUGGUUUGAGAGGACGACCAGCCACACUGACUGAGACACGGCCCAGACUACGAGGUGCAGUGGGAAUUUUUGACAAUGGGGAAACCCUGAUCCAGCCAUCUCAUGUGUGCUGAUGAAGGCCUUCGGGUUGUAAAGCACUUUUGGCAGGAGAAGAAACGGCACGUGGAUAAUACCCCGUGCAACUGACGGUACCCGCAGAAUAAGCACCGGCUAACUACGCGUCGUUAGCCGCGGUAAUACGUAGGGUGCAAGCGUUAAUCAGACCACAUUAAGGAAGCGUGCAAAGCGGUUCGAAAGAAAGAGGAAACUUCAGAGCUUGAAUUUUUGAACUGCAUUUUAACUACCGAGCUAGAGCAGUGUCGAGGGAGGUGGAAUUCCGCGUAGCAGUGGAAUGCGUAGAUAUGCGGAGGAACACCGAUGGCGAAGGCAGCCUCCUCAAGAUGUGGAAUUAACAUCAAUGCUCAUGCACGAAAGCGUGGGAGCAAACAGGAUUAGAUACCCCGGUGUCCACGCCCUAAACGAUGUCAACCAGCUGUUGGGGCCUGGCCUGGUAGCGCCAUCCAGUGAAGUUGACCGGCUCAGAGCAUGGUCAUGAAGAUUAAAACUCCAAAGGAAUUGACGGGGACUCCGCACAAGUGGUGUGGAUGAUGAUUAAUUCGAUGCAACGCGAAAAACCUACCUGGCCCUUGAUACGUCUUUGGAAUCCCAGUUAUUUUGGGAGCGUCUGCAAGAGAACCGGAACACAGGUGCUGCAUGGCUGUCGUCAGUUCGUGUCGAGAUGUUGGGUUAAGUCCCGCAACGAGUUGGGGGCAACCUUGUCAUUAGUUGCUACGAAAGGGCACUCUAACGAGACCUGCCGGUGACAAACCGGAGGAAGGUGGGGAUGACGUCAAGUCUCAUGGCCCUUAUGGGUAGGGCCUACACGUCAUACAAUGGUCGGGACAGAGGGUCGCCAACCCAUGAGUGGGGAGCCAAUCCCAGAAACCCGAUCGUAGUCCGGAUCGGUAGCCCGCAACUCGACUGCGUGAAGUCGUAAAUCGGUAAUCGCGGAUCAGCAUGUCAGUGUUCCCGGGUCCUGUACACACCGCCCGUCACACCAUGGGAGUGGUUUACCAGGAUAGUUAGCCUAACCGUAAGGAGGGCGAUUACCACGGUAGAUUCAGACUGGGGUGAAGUCGUAACAAGGUAGCCCUACAGCCAUCCUGAUGC
rnacentral:rRNA from 1 species